AUGAAGAUACACUGGAUAGCAUGGGAUAAAAUGUGUACAACUAAGUAAGAUGGGGCCCUCGGAUUCAGAGAUUAUGUAGCCUUUAACCAAGCUUUGUUGGCUAAACAGGCGUGGACGAUUUUACAGGUACCCUCAUCGUUGUGCGCAAGGGUGCUCAAGGCAAGAUAUUUCAUAGACGAAAGCAUCAUGACCGCUACAUGUCCGGCGGGAGCAUCAUAUACUUUCAGGAGCAUAUUGUAUGGGCGUGACCUGCUGCGAGAGGGCACAAUAUGGUGCAUAUGUGAUGCCAGAAGGUCCACAUCCAUCAUGCUAAAUGGAUACCUAAGCAGGGGAGUAUGA
rnacentral:rRNA from 1 species